GGGACACGUGGUAUCCUGUCUGAAUAUGGGGGGACCAUCCUCCAAGGCUAAAUACUCCUGACUGACCGAUAGUGAACCAGUACCGUGAGGGAAAGGCGAAAAGAACCCCGGCGAGGGGAGUGAAAAAGAACCUGAAACCGUGUACGUACAAGCAGUGGGAGCACGCUUAGGCGUGUGACUGCGUACCUUUUGUAUAAUGGGUCAGCGACUUAUAUUCUGUAGCAAGGUUAACCGAAUAGGGGAGCCGAAGGGAAACCGAGUCUUAACUGGGCGUUAAGUUGCAGGGUAUAGACCCGAAACCCGGUGAUCUAGCCAUGGGCAGGUUGAAGGUUGGGUAACACUAACUGGAGGACCGAACCGACUAAUGUUGAAAAAUUAGCGGAUGACUUGUGGCUGGGGGUGAAAGGCCAAUCAAACCGGGAGAUAGCUGGUUCUCCCCGAAAGCUAUUUAGGUAGCGCCUCGUGAAUUCAUCUCCGGGGGUAGAGCACUGUUUCGGCAAGGGGGUCAUCCCGACUUACCAACCCGAUGCAAACUGCGAAUACCGGAGAAUGUUAUCACGGGAGACACACGGCGGGUGCUAACGUCCGUCGUGAAGAGGGAAACAACCCAGACCGCCAGCUAAGGUCCCAAAGUCAUGGUUAAGUGGGAAACGAUGUGGGAAGGCCCAGACAGCCAGGAUGUUGGCUUAGAAGCAGCCAUCAUUUAAAGAAAGCGUAAUAGCUCACUGGUCGAGUCGGCCUGCGCGGAAGAUGUAACGGGGCUAAACCAUGCACCGAAGCUGCGGCAGCGACACUAUGUGUUGUUGGGUAGGGGAGCGUUCUGUAAGCCUGUGAAGGUGUGCUGUGAGGCAUGCUGGAGGUAUCAGAAGUGCGAAUGCUGACAUAAGUAACGAUAAAGCGGGUGAAAAGCCCGCUCGCCGGAAGACCAAGGGUUCCUGUCCAACGUUAAUCGGGGCAGGGUGAGUCGACCCCUAAGGCGAGGCCGAAAGGCGUAGUCGAUGGGAAACAGGUUAAUAUUCCUGUACUUGGUGUUACUGCGAAGGGGGGACGGAGAAGGCUAUGUUGGCCGGGCGACGGUUGUCCCGGUUUAAGCGUGUAGGCUGGUUUUCCAGGCAAAUCCGGAAAAUCAAGGCUGAGGCGUGAUGACGAGGCACUACGGUGCUGAAGCAACAAAUGCCCUGCUUCCAGGAAAAGCCUCUAAGCAUCAGGUAACAUCAAAUCGUACCCCAAACCGACACAGGUGGUCAGGUAGAGAAUACCAAGGCGCUUGAGAGAACUCGGGUGAAGGAACUAGGCAAAAUGGUGCCGUAACUUCGGGAGAAGGCACGCUGAUAUGUAGGUGAAGUCCCUCGCGGAUGGAGCUGAAAUCAGUCGAAGAUACCAGCUGGCUGCAACUGUUUAUUAAAAAC
rnacentral:rRNA from 1 species